CUACCCGGGUAUCUAAUCCCGUUUGCUCCCCUGGCUUUCGCUGAUCAGCGUCAAUGCCGGUCCAGGAUGCCGCCUUCGCCACCGGUGUUCCUCCAGAUAUCUACGCAUUUCACCGCUACACCUGGAAUUCCGCAUCCCUCUCCCGGAUUCAAGCCCGCCAGUAUCCGACGCAGUUCCCAAGUUAAGCUUGGGGAUUUCACGUCGGACUUAGCAGGCCGCCUACUAGCCCUUUACGCCCAGUAAUUCCGAACAACGCUUGCACCCUCUGUAUUACCGCGGCUGCUGGCAC
rnacentral:rRNA from 1 species